UUGUUUACAUUAUGAGAGUAGAUGUUGUAUAGGGUGAGGUUUUGGAGAGUAUAUGAUGUAUUUACAUUUGGAAAGAAAAUGCAAGUUGUAUUAAAUGAUUAAAGUUUAAAUGAUAUCGAAAGAGGUUAAAUGUUUCAAUGAUGUCUCAAAUAGUUAAGUUUCUCUCUUUUGAAUACUUGUAUACUGUUUACUUGUAUCGC
rnacentral:lncRNA from 1 species